CAAAGAGUGGCGAACGGGUGAGUAACACGUGGGUACCCUACCUCUUAGCAGGGGAUAACAUUUGGAAACAAGUGCUAAUACCGUAUAACACUAACAACCGCAUGGUUGUUAGUUGAAAGAUGGUUCUGCUAUCACUAAGAGAUGGACCCGCGGUGCAUUAGCUAGUUGGUAAGGUAAUGGCUUACCAAGGCGAUGAUGCGUAGCCGAGUUGAGAGACUGAUCGGCCACAAUGGGACUGAGACACGGCCCAUACUCCUACGGGAGGCAGCAGUAGGGAAUCUUCCACAAUGGGCGCAAGCCUGAUGGAGCAACGCCGCGUGUGUGAUGAAGGGUUUCGGCUCGUAAAACACUGUUAUAAGAGAAGAACGACAUUGAGAGUAACUGUUCAGUGUGUGACGGUAUCUUAUCAGAAAGGAACGGCUAAAUACGUGCCAGCAGCCGCGGUAAUACGUAUGUUCCAAGCGUUAUCCGGAUUUAUUGGGCGUAAAGCGAGCGCAGACGGUUAUUUAAGUCUGAAGUGAAAGCCCCUCAGCUCAACUGAGGAAGGGCUUUGGAAACUGGAUAACUUGAGUGCAGUAGAGGAAAGUGGAACUCCAUGUGUAGCGGUGAAAUGCGUA
rnacentral:rRNA from 1 species